GGGGGCGUUUUUGGAUUCGACGGGGAUAGUUCGAGCACGGGUGGCGGGUAGCGGGGACGCGUCCGCUUCAACAACGCUAAGGCCAAAUAAAUGGCAAACAACAAGCUCAAUACGCGGUAGCAGCGUAAGAAACUGCACGCGUGCUUCUGCCCGGCAUCGCCCACGUGCCGGGACAGGGGCUCAACCGAGUGGGCUACGCCGCCUAGUCUCCGCCUGGGGCUAGCGGAAGAAGACAAUCAGGCUGGCCCGGUCGAAAGCCGGUUACGGGGCGUUCUCCGGGCGAGAUGAGUACCGUGACUACACCCGUAGAAGCCUGUGCGGCGUUAUCUUCGGACAGGGGUUCGAAUCCCCUCGCCUCCACCA
rnacentral:tmRNA from 1 species